UACGAAGGGGGGCUAGCGUUGCUCGGAAUGACUGGGCGUAAAGGGCGCGUAGGCGGUUUGUACAGUCAGGUGUGAAAUUCCCGGGCUCAACCUGGGGGCUGCACUUGAUACGUAGGAACUUGAGUGGGGAAGAGGGUCGUGGAAUUCCCAGUGUAGAGGUGAAAUUCGUAGAUAUUGGGAAGAACACCGGUGGCGAAGGCGGCGACCUGGUCCUUGACUGACGCUGAGGCGCGAAAGCGUGGGGAGCAAACAGG
rnacentral:rRNA from 1 species